ACAAUUUUACAAUUUUACAAUUUCAAAUGCAUCAAUAUUUUGUAUUAUUGAUAAAACACCAAUACUUUUUCUGACAGCAGUAUAAGAAAAGUAACCAAACUGCGACUGUUGCCGAAAGCACCAAGUGUUAGAGUUAUAAAAGGUAUGGAUGAUCUUUCACGCAAGAUGGCAAGAAUACGAGGUUUUCAUUUGGACAUUUAUGAGAUCAAAUCUUUAAAAUAUAUAAAAGACUGACCAUCUAGCUCACCAUAUUGUCUGAAAAUAUUUCCCUUAAAUAUCAUUUUUAAAAUCCGCCUUCUAUUUUUAGGUUUUUACCUGUUUUUACGAGACAAAUAUUCGGCAUACCUUUUAGCAUUCAUGUGCCUUGGUCAGCGCCUUUCUUUGACAGUUUGACAGUUUGCUCAGACUCAGUUCUUUCUCUUGCAAAGAGCGUUUUUGUUCUUUGUCCGGAACUCGGGAUCAAAUUUUCGAAGUAAUCGUCCAGAAUCGGUUAAGACAUUACAAUCGGAUUGUUUUCCUGGCCAUGCAGCGCAAAAAGCACCCCGGUUAGUUGGAGGUUUCAUGGCAGUGUUCAAGGCCAAGUUGCGGAUGGCGGUGUUCAAGGCCAAGUUGCGGAUAAGCCGUGGCCAUAGCUGGAAAAAGUGGAUUCCGGUGAUAACGGCAAAAGUAGCAUGGAGUGAUCCGCAGCCGCCUGGAGGCUGACAAGACCGCAUCCGAUGUCAGCCAACCAAGUGAAAAAUAAGUGCAAAACAUCCGUGAAAAGUGUUCAAAAAAUAUUGUAGUGUUGUGAUGCUUUGUAAAUAAAAAGUUUUCAAAAAAAGUU